rnacentral:lncRNA from 1 species
AGAGGGGCGGGGCGCCAGCAGCAGGCUUAGUCCAAUCAAGGCUCGUUUGUUCCUCCUGGGUUUGCCAGGGAGGCAAUACCUGCCUAACCCACUUUAGGUGUCUGACCUGUCCUUUCCGCAUUCUGGGGUCCAGACCAUGUCCUAGACGUUCCUGGUCCCCGAUUCCCUCCCGUUCAACUCCGUUCAGAUGCUCACCUGGCUGGAACACACCUAGCCCAGGCUGAGCUUGGUGGGUAGAUGGGCUCUCUGGUUUUAGCAGCUGACCUGUCUCAUCCCUCUGUCCCCAGUCUAGAGCCUCUGCACUCCCAUUGUCCUAGGUCUCGUAUUGGGCAGAGGGCUCGGCUUCUGACCCGCCCUGCUCACAGGUUCCUGGGCACCGAUUCCCACGACUCCUACUUCUCCAACGGGCAGAGGCAUCGUGUGGUGGCAGAGAUCCUGGCUCGCACAGUCUAUGGGAAGCAGGAACGAGAAGAGAUGGGCAUUGCCCAUCUGCUGGCCGAGGGAGUCUAUGCUGCAGCCUUCCCACUGCAUGAGGGAAGAGAUCUGUGCCAGUGGAGGUGCCUUCCUCAUGUGGCCACUCUGUGACACCUGUGCCACAUGGAAUAUUUCCGAUGAUAGAAGCUUUGGUGAGGUUAGACAUUGGGACCUUUGGAGUCUCAAAGAGAAGCCCUGCCUGGAAUGGGGAAGAAGGGGAGAAGCAUUCCACUCACCAACCCAGCCAGCCAGCUGCCUAUCCAUCCAAACGUCCAAUCAUUGAUUCUGUAUCUGUUUGGUUCCGUCUCCACUGUCACCCUCCAGCCCAAGCCAGCAUUCUCUCACCUGGACCACUGCAGUGGCCUCCCAACAGGUCUCCUUGCUCCUCUGUUUGCCCCACUUAAUCCGUUCUCAGCUGCCAGGGCAUUCUUUUG